GAUGAAGAACGCAGCGAAAUGCGAUAAGUAAUGUGAAUUGCAGAAUUCAGUGAAUCAUCGAAUCUUUGAACGCACCUUGCACUCCUUGGUAUUCCGAGGAGUACGCCUGUUCGAGUGUUAUGAAGCUCUCAAAACGCAAUUGGCUUAAAACCUGAUUGUUGUUUUGGAUUUGAACUUUGCCGUGUUAUAACGGCUGGUUUUAAAAGUAUUAGCUGGUACUAGAACGAAUUGGUUCUACUCAACGUGAUAAUUAUCUGAUCGUUGAGGACAUUCCUUUCACGAGGAAUGGCCAUAGUAAAUUCAAUGGACUGCUUCUAGUCUGGCUUUAAUUCUUUAUUGGAUUAACCACUUUUCAAAUCUGACCUCGAAUCAGGUGGGACUACCCGCUGAACUUAAGCAUAUCAAUAAGCGGAGGA
rnacentral:misc_RNA from 1 species